rnacentral:rRNA from 1 species
UACGUAGGGUGCAAGCGUUGUCCGGAAUUACUGGGCGUAAAGAGCUCGUAGGUGGUUUGUCGCGUUGUUCGUGAAAACUCACAGCUCAACUGUGGGCGUGCGGGCGAUACGGGCAGACUUGAGUACUGCAGGGGAGACUGGAAUUCCUGGUGUAGCGGUGGAAUGCGCAGAUAUCAGGAGGAACACCGGUGGCGAAGGCGGUUCUCUGGGAAUGUUCUGACGCUGAGGAGCGAAAGUGUGGGGAGCAAACAGG